UCUGCACAGAAGGCAUGAUACCUAUAUAAGGGAUUUGAAAGUUCAAGUCAAGAUUCCUUUACACUCUUCUUUUUGAAUUUCAUAUAAGUCCAGUCUGCUAUAAAUGUUCCCAGUAUUACCUGAAUGGCUUAAACAUUGAGCUCCUAUCCAUUUCUUAAAUUGUAUUAAUUUUCCAGCAUUAGGUGGGAUUGUGAUGGGAUGAACUGAACCCCGAUGAGCGAAGGAACUUUGCAAGUGUAGUAGUUGAUUUGAUGUCUGAAAUUACAAAUUCCAGUGAAGAAUGGGCUUUGAAAAGUCAGACGUCAGCUCUUGUUUCCAAGGUAUUCUUCCUCCUUUUUUUUAAAGAUUUGAUCACUUCAUUCGAUAAAUUUAUAGUUCUUAGGAUUGUGCAAUUGUAUAUGUUUUAGGUAGUAGUCGUCAGUUUCCAGAAUUGGGACACAAGACAGUCAAAAUUCCUUUUGAAAUUUGUAAUAAUAGUCUGGCUCUGUUUGUAGUGUGGAAACUUGGUUCUUUUUAGUGAAUAGUGAACUUGGCUCUGUUUGUAGUGUGGAAACUUGGCUCUUUUUACUCUUUUUAGUUCCAGGCAGAGUAAGAAACUUGCAUUUUCCUAGUUCUUGUCCUUCACUAUUCCUGCAUUUUCUUUUUCAUGGAUUUGUGCUACAGUGAAAUUAGGACUAGUGAUAAUUUCUAUGUAAUUAAAGCACAUAAUACGAAUUGUUUUGGAAAGAAUCCGCAAGAAAAUAACUCAAUCAAGCAUGUUUGCAGUUGAGAUAAUGCUAUUACCGAGUGUGUUUUUGGUGUUGGUAUUGUAGUGCCUUUAUGAUAAUUGUUUCCCGGAUAUUGAAAUUAGGACUCUGGUGGUUAUUGUUGUGUAAUUAGAGUACGAAAGUGCUAUUUAUUUUGGAAAGAAAUCUGCAAGAAAAUAAUUUGAGGAUAGGCAUAUAUAUGGUUGAUAGCUUCAAAUAAAGGAAUUCAGCUUCAUCGAUGUUCAAAUUUGCUCCUUGUCGUGUAACUCCAACAUCUUGCCUAUGAGAAGGCCUCAGAGGGGCUGGGGUGGUCCUGGUUGGAGUCAUGAUCGAACAUGCCACAUGCCGCUUGCUUGGUGGGCUUAGUUUAGAAAUAAAGUUGUGCGCUUGCUAUUAGCUAUAGCUUUUGGCAUGAUAGUAAGCGCUUGAUCCUAACAAAGUUGUUCAUGUCUAAAAGUGGAAAAAAAGUAGUCACCCCUUUACCAUCUGGACUUUUAUGUUGUUGCUUUUUCGGUCAGAUAGCAUGAUCGUUAACAUACUGGGAUAGGGUGGCAAAGGGGUGACCAUGACAGUGAUGUUUUUCAUUAGUGUUCUUUUUUUGUGCUGCAAGUGCAAGCUUUACUUGUUCCUGCUUAAGCUUGUCCGACAUAUUUGAAGAAAAAGGUGGGUUUCUUUCAGUUUUGGCGGUUUGCUUGCAAUUUUCAGCUCUUCAUGCCUUUCGCUAUGUCCCCGUCCUAGAAGAUGGCACUUCAAUUCAUGCUCUGAGGUGGUUAUCACUUGACAUACCAGACAAGUCCACUCUGUUUAAACAUUCUUUACAGAAUUGGUUUCUGGGAGUUUAAUCUCCUCGACAUCCACUGGAAGUGUUGUUCCCUUGAACUGCAUAGCUGUUGGUUUCUUCUCAAUCUGAAUUAGAUUUUCCUUCACACUAUUAAGCUGUAGUUCCACAGAUGAUAUCUUAAUCACUAGCAUACAGACUACUUUUACUCCAGAGCCACUGAUUAUCUCUCUCGUGUCUGCAAUGUGAUAUUGUGAUGCUUACAUCCCUGUGCUGAUCUUAUUUAAAUAAAACCAAUAUCUCGGUUUCUUACUGCUGACUGCUGAGACCUAUAUGUUCCUCUUUCCCGCACCUGUUUUUCCCUUGUUUCGAUUUCUCUCCAUCCAUAUAACAAGGGUUGGUGGAACUAAAAUCACCAUUUGUCAUCAUGCUUAAAGGCUCAUUUUCUUCUUGUGAGAUGACUAGCAUUGGAAUGUGCUGAAAGAAAUAGUUGAAAGAUAUAUCAUGCACAUGAAAAUUGAUGACUUGGAAUAUGGGGAAGGGGGGUGUCAAGAGUCUUUCUUAGAAUAUCUAUCAAUCAGGUGUUCUUUCUGUAAUCGAGACAUUGCAAUCUCAUGAACAGCAAGCCAUGAACAAAACUAUUUGCAACACUAGCACCUGCUGUGCUUUACAUGGUCUCUCUGUUCCUGUUUUAUCUUAACUUAAGCCAUUGAAGACUAUACAUGAUUAUUAACACCACCUGAAAUACCCUCUGGAUAGAACUAAUUGGAUAUUGUGUUGCGAGCUUGCUAUGACACUUAACCAGCUACUACAUUUUUUGUCCGGAACAUAAUGUCCACAUUUUAACAAAUAAUUAAGAAAUAACAGUACAAAUUUUCGAAAAAACAUAUGAAGAAAAUUGAAAAGAUAGCUCUCAGAUAUCUGUGUACUACAAUUUCUCUACGGUCUCAAUUUAGUCAGCAUGAUGUUAUUGUGACAUCAUAUGACGUUAUUCGCAAAGAUGUUGAUUAUCUUAGGCAGCUAUUCUGGAACUAUUGCAUUCGUCACAUAUGAUGUUAUUCGCAAAGAUGUUGAUUAUUUUAGGCAGCUAUUCUGGAACUAUUGCAUUCUAAAUAAGGGACAUAUCAUAAAGAAUUCUAAGGCGAAAAGAACAGUUGCUUUAACAGCAACUGAAGGCACAGUGUCGCCUCAUUCUGUGUGGAACGCCAAUACAGAAUAAUGUGUUGGAUUUGUGGUCGCUCUUUGACUUUCUUAUGCUGGGGUUUCUUGGAACUGAAAGACAAGAUACACUCUUGUGGUGGGGUCUUUUUCUGGACACCGUGUAUAGCGGUAGCUUUAGUGCACCGGGCUGCUCUUUUUUGAAUGUGUAGGAUCAAUGCGGGGGAUCAAAUUUGAAUGGUGGGCGCCACAACUUAAAUUGAUCUAGAUUGAAGUGAAUGAUGAUGAAUUUUUGAAAUAUUUUGAUAUACCUUUAUAUACAUUUAGUUUUGUGUGGAAUUUGGUACAAAUUUUUAGUAUGUUGUUUUCUAAUUAGUA